UUGCUAGGAGAACUCACAGGACUCAGCAUAUACUCACAUGUGAGUCACAGGACUCACAUGGGCAUGAUUUAUUACAAUAAAAAGAUACAAAGCAAAAUCAACAAAGGAAAAAGUGCAUGGGUCAAAACCCAGAGGAAAACUAUGCACAAACUUCCACAAGUCCUCUCCCAGGACAGUCACACAGGAUGUGCUUAAUUUCUUAAUCAAUAAGUUUGUGAUAGGCAUGAAUUAUUUUCUACUAAAAAAACUCCUAGCAGGGUGGAAAACAACUCUUUCUUAUGUCUAAGUUCUGAACCAGAAAUAGUUGGUGAAAAACACUAUGAUAUUGGUUAUUAUUUUACUGUGGAGUAAAACAAAAUUAAAUAGACAUAAUUAAAUUUGAUCUUACAUAGUAAGUAAAUAUGCAUAGUUAUGUUUUCACAAUUUAGACAAAAAAGGCCUAUAAUCCUUACAUUUUUCACAUUAUCUCCUAAGAUAAUUUUUUGAGGUUUUUUUGUUUUGAUUUUUCUGCAAUGUCUACCUCUCAAGAUUUCAGCCGGAAUUAAAUUAUCUAUGGAAAUGGUAAUUUUUUCUACCCAUCAAUAUUAUUUUCCUUGAGAAGUCAGAGAUAAAUGCCAUCUGGACAUAGCAUUUUAUCAUUAGAUGUUUUACUUUCUUGAUCAUCUGUUCUGCCAAGAUACAGUUUUUCUUCAGUGUUUAUUUUUCCUACCUGAGAACUGUUUAUUGCUGGCAUUUGUUCCUCUUCCUUUCUCUGUUAACACAGAAGCAAGAAGAGCUUUGGAUGUUUUGGCAAUGUGUCCAUCUGCCAUGUAUCCAUCACCGUUGCCAUAUUUUGUAGCUAGGAUCUCUGCAAAGCAGUGAGGCACAGAGCAAUACACUGACUGGAGCUGGGUUCAAACCAAAAAGUCCUGCUCUGUAUUGGGGAAAAUGGUGCAGUGAUUGACAUCUGGACCUGCUUUGACAGGCUCUUCUCUGCAAAUGAAAGUCUUAGAAUGGACAAAUUUGCUGCUGACAUGUGCACUCCAGUUCACCUUUAAGUAUGGUGAGACUUGACAUUGCUUGAGCUUUCUUGUUCAGGCUCAGUCUUGGUUUCCAUUUUUACAUAUGCAGGGCUUAUCAUGUUUAGAUUUUCACUUCAUUGCACACUUGCCUCAUUUCAGAUAUCUUUCUUCCUGCCUCUUGUAAAAAUGUUGAAAUUCUCAUUUGUGCUGUUAACAUUUUCUCAUUUGGAAAUUUGUCACUUCCAGUCCAGCAUUUUCCUACCAUUACAUAAAGAGAUGGUGAUCACUGGCUUUGUGAUUUCUUUAAUAUAAUUUAUUGUAUCAUACUUUUCCUUUUGUCUUGUGUCUUUCUUCCAACAUUAUUUGGUUUCCCAUUUCUCAUCAGAGCAAAACACGAUUCUUUUAAUUUUUAGCUCCUUUUAAAAAGAUGCAUUUAAACUAAUUUGUGAGAAAUUUGAAAAUGAUUCACAAUAUAAAAUACAUUAAUUCUGAUUUAUAAAAUAAUCUAGUGUUUGUUCAUUGCUGUGUAUCCAAAUCAAUUUUUGUAUAUUUAUGCACACACAUAUAUGUGUGCAAGUUUGUGUGUGCAUGCACAUAUAUCUUGUAUAUUUGUGUAUUUCUAUAUCUGUUUUGCCCCUUCAUUAGAAAGUGUUCAUUGUAAACAAAGCCCCCAUCACAGCUCAUUCUACUCUGACCUUCAUGACUUAGUUAAAACACUGAAUGUUGAAGGAAACCGUGCCCCCAACUCGACUGCCUGCAAACUGGAUUACUUCUGUUGUUGCAAGAACUCAUGAAAAUGUCCUUCCUCAAAUCCUUAUUUUCAGAAGCUAUUCUGUUUGAAAUCUGAGAUUCUAAGACGUCAAAGGUAUACUUUUAAUAGUUUCACUUGCUAUUAUACUGUUACUUAAUUGAAAAAAUCUGUUGUUAUUUAAUAUCUUUCACAUUCUUGUUUUCUCUGUAGCUUUUAAACGUAAAACUUUUUUCCUGGAUCAUGCAAGUUUAAAAUUCAAAUAUCAUUACUUAUAUUCAAGGCAUUAUUAAAAUGAAACAUAUAUUUAAAUAUUUCAUGCAAAACUGAAAACUUUGUAAAGUUUUUUCCUUAAAAUGUGUUUCAUCAUAUAUAUUUAUCAUGUUAUAGUAGUUUAAAAUGGAUGAGGUUUGUUUCCCCAGUUUUACCUUUUAUUUUUCCAAAAAAGGUUAAUGUGCUAUUAUAAAAAUAAAACAAUUUUUGGCUUUGUCUGCCAUGAGUAAUAGGACCUGCUGAAUUAAAUUUUAUCUUUGCCCCAGGCACAUUGUGAAUUUAAAGUCUUUGCAAUUUCUCAUUUUUCUUUUCAAGUCAGAAAUGGGCUUGAAGUUUCAUAAGAAUUUCAAACUCAGAUGAAAACUGUCACACCAGCACCUGCAGCAGCUUUAUGCACCAUGAAGGAUUAAUCUUGUGAAAUAAUCUUACAAGUAACUUUUACCUGUCUGAUAUUUAAGACCUCACUAUUUAAGAAGAUACACAAAAAAUCUAAAUGCAGUUUCCUUAACAUUACUAUCCAUUAUAGAUAGAAAUCCUGUAACAAGUUGAGUCAUUAUCUGAGAGGAAUCAUAGUAUAUCUAUCUAUUUAGUAUAUUAAUUUUAGAAAAGCUUUUAUUGUAAAUAUUUUAAGAGUUGUUUUUUGAGAAUUGUAGCUAAGCCAUUUAAAAUAGAAAUAUUUAACAUGUAAAUGUUACCAUUAGAUUAUCGUUCUAUAUAGAAUGUUUUUAAGAACUGAGAUUUUGAAAACCUUAGAGAUAUAUAAGUUGAUAAUACAGAAGUGGGUCAAUGAUAUGUAUACAAAGUAAUAAAUAUAGAUUUAAGCAAAGAAAAUGUAUUGGUUAACAGGAAUAUCAUAGCACCAGUAAUUAAAAAUAUAGAGAGUAACAAUGGAUAAUCAUUUAUCUAUCUACUUAUGUGUUCCUCCCUUUUCCCACAAAAUUUAGAAAAAUUUUACAGAUUAUUCUAGUAAAGAUAUAAUAAAAAUAAUGCACUGCAAGAAAACAGAUAGGCUUUUUAAAAUAAAUAAACUUGCUAUUAUGUCAAGUGCAUAAAAGUAAGAGAUAUUGUAGUUUCUCUAAGAAUAUAAUUUUGCUAAAAUAAAAUAAGCAGGCACAAACAAAUAUAUGAGCAAAAACCAGAAGUUUUAUUAGGAGUAGAAACAUUAAAUGGUCACAAUAGUUAGUGAAUUGUAGAAAUAUGAAUUUUUUGCCUUGUUUUCUAUCUUCUGUAUGGUUUUUUAAAUACUAAAAAUGACAAUUUUUAACAUAUAUCGAAAUAUAGAAAAAGUCUGCGAUACGAUAUUGACUAAAAACUAUGGUAUAAUGUUAAGCUUCUAAAAAUAUCUAAAAUAGAUAAAAAUAUUGUAAAUAACAUAAAGAUUAUAAAGCCAAAAAUAAAUUAAUUUUAUUCUUGCUAGAAGUCACCUACCAAACAAAAAAUUACCAUUGAUGAAUAUGUAACUUCCAUACCUUAAGAUUUUGUAUCCUGAAUAAAAAUUUGGUGGCAUAGUUACAUUUUUUUUUUUAAUUUACUCAUUAGAAUCCUCUUGUAUUUGUAGUUUUUUUUUUUUGUACCAGAGCUAUUUGUCCAAAUAAGAACUCUUUGGUUAUUAUAUGAUUCCAUUAGUUAUGUGCCUUUUUUGUGAAACAUGUAAUAAAAACUUGUUCUUGCUACAAUUUCUCCUGUUUAGUAACAUUUCUUUAGA
rnacentral:lncRNA from 1 species